GAUGAACGCUGGCGGCGUGCCUAAUACAUGCAAGUCGAGCGAACGGACGAGAAGCUUGCUUUUCUGAUGUUAGCGGCGGACGGGUGAGUAACACGUGGAUAACCUACCUAUAAGACUGGGAUAACUUCGGGAAACCGGAGCUAAUACCGGAUAAUAUUUUGAACCGCAUGGUUCAAAAGUGAAAGACGGUCUUGCUGUCACUUAUAGAUGGAUCCGCGCUGCAUUAGCUAGUUGGUAAGGUAACGGCUUACCAAGGCAACAAUGCAUAGCCGACCUGAGAGGGUGAUCGGCCACACUGGAACUGAGACACGGUCCAGACUCCUACGGGAGGCAGCAGUAGGGAAUCUUCCGCAAUGGGCGAAAGCCUGACGGAGCAACGCCGCGUGAGUGAUGAAGGUCUUCGGAUCGUAAAACUCUGUUAUUAGGGAAGAACAUAUGUGUAAGUAACUGUGCACAUCUUGACGGUACCUAAUCAGAAAGCCACGGCUAACUACGUGCCAGCAGCCGCGGUAAUACGUAGGUGGCAAGCGUUAUCCGGAAUUAUUGGGCGUAAAGCGCGCGUAGGCGGUUUUUUAAGUCUGAUGUGAAAGCCCACGGCUCAACCGUGGAGGGUCAUUGGAAACUGGAAAACUUGAGUGCAGAAGAGGAAAGUGGAAUUCCAUGUGUAGCGGUGAAAUGCGCAGAGAUGUGGAGGAACACCAGUGGCGAAGGCGACUUUCUGGUCUGUAACUGACGCUGAUGUGCGAAAGCGUGGGGAUCAAACAGGAUUAGAUACCCUGGUAGUCCACGCCGUAAACGAUGAGUGCUAAGUGUUAGGGGGUUUCCGCCCCUUAGUGCUGCAGCUAACGCAUUAAGCACUCCGCCUGGGGAGUACGACCGCAAGGUUGAAACUCAAAGGAAUUGACGGGGGCCCGCACAAGCGGUGGAGCAUGUGGUUUAAUUCGAAGCAACGCGAAGAACCUUACCAAAUCUUGACAUCCUUUGACAACUCUAGAGAUAGAGCCUUCCCCUUCGGGGGACAAAGUGACAGGUGGUGCAUGGUUGUCGUCAGCUCGUGUCGUGAGAUGUUGGGUUAAGUCCCGCAACGAGCGCAACCCUUAAGCUUAGUUGCCAUCAUUAAGUUGGGCACUCUAAGUUGACUGCCGGUGACAAACCGGAGGAAGGUGGGGAUGACGUCAAAUCAUCAUGCCCCUUAUGAUUUGGGCUACACACGUGCUACAAUGGACAAUACAAAGGGCAGCGAAACCGCGAGGUCAAGCAAAUCCCAUAAAGUUGUUCUCAGUUCGGAUUGUAGUCUGCAACUCGACUACAUGAAGCUGGAAUCGCUAGUAAUCGUAGAUCAGCAUGCUACGGUGAAUACGUUCCCGGGUCU
rnacentral:rRNA from 1 species